rnacentral:lncRNA from 1 species
UAGAGAUCUCACCUUUUAAAAAGCAUUUUAGUUUUCAGAAGUGGAUUAAUCCACGUCGAGACUGUCACCCUAAAUGUGAACCAGAGGAAGAGCCAUCACAAGGAAAUCUUUGCCUCCCCUGCAUGCAGUUUGACAGUUUCUAUUAAUCAAGUGGCCAAAGCCAGACCACUGAGACUUUGUCUCCAGGCUAAACAGCUUGAAGAGGAAGCACCAGGAUUCAAAUUCAGGUCUUCCGGCUCCAAAGGACACACUCGUAAUUACUGCAUUGGACUCCCUUUCUACUAUCAGGAUUCUUUUCAUUGCAAAUGGUCGAAAUCUGGGUCUUAAGGGGACCGCCUUUGGAGCCCCAAACGGGUGAGAAGUCCUGCUGGCCUGUGACGGCCACACUGUGGGGAAGCCCAGCCACACGAGGAGGGCACAGGUGACAACAGUGACAGCCUCAGCCAAGGUCCCAGUCGACAGCCAGCAGCAAGCACCAGACUGAAUGGAGAUAAUUCCAGAUGAUUUCAGCCCCCAGCUCUCGAGACACUCCCAGCUGUCGAUCGUUUCUAGUUGAGGCAUCAGACAUGGGGGAGCAGAGACGAACUCUCCUGCUCUGAUCCGUCUGAAUUCCUGACCCACAAACCAGUGAAAUAAUAAAACAGUUAUUUUAAGCCCUCACAUCUUGGAAUAAUUUGUUAUGUGCAAUAGCAAGUGGACACCGGGCUUCUAUCAGCCACGCAGCCCUGCCUGAAAGAAGGCUGCUCUCCUUCCCAGUUGUUCUGGGGCAGGGCAGUCAUUGGACCAGGC